UAAGUGAAUGAGAGAUGCAGUGUGCAGUGAACAGAACUGACUGACAGCUCCAGUGAUUCACUUUCUGCACAUCUCCUGUGUAUUUCUGGAACAGGUUCGGUGGGCGGCUGCGAUGCUGACCGUGAUCGAUGUGUUUAGGUGCGACACAGUGACCUCAACACAUGAACGAGCGUUUACACUAAACAUGUGGCGUGAUCACGUGUGUUUCUGUGCUUUCAGUGAUCUGAUCCAAUCACAAAACUGACUUUGACCUUUUCAAAGCAAUAUUUCUUGCAAGGACAGAAGGAUUGUGUGGUCUUCAUUUAUCUCAGAACAUUCAACUCAGGCUGCAAAAUCACACGCAGAAUUCGGAAAUCAAGAGAAAGCAAUAAAAAUAAGCCUCACAGUGGACACACAUCAACACAAUCACUCUUACUUCACAUUAUAAGCAGACACCGAUAUGAAGCACAUCUCAAGAAUCUAAAGCUACUAGCAUGUUCUAAGACUGAAUCAUGGUGACGUCGUGCUGGACGCUGGUGACAGUGCUGCCGAUGCUGGCCACGCUCUAUACAUACACAC